rnacentral:rRNA from 1 species
CCUACGGGAGGCAGCAGUGGGGAAUAUUGGACAAUGGGGGCAACCCUGAUCCAGCCAUGCCGCGUGUGUGAAGAAGGCCCUCGGGUUGUAAAGCACUUUCAGUGAGGAAGAACGCCUGGUGGUUAAUACCCAUCAGGAAAGACAUCACUCACAGAAGAAGCACCGGCUAACUCCGUGUCAGCAGCCGCGGUAAUACGGAGGGUGCGAGCGUUAAUCGGAAUUACUGGGCGUAAAGCGCGCGUAGGUGGCUUGAUAAGCCGGUUGUGAAAGCCCCGGGCUCAACCUGGGAACGGCAUCCGGAACUGUCAAGCUAGAGUGCAGGAGAGGAAGGUAGAAUUCCCGGUGUAGCGGUGAAAUGCGUAGAGAUCGGGAGGAAUACCAGUGGCGAAGGCGGCCUUCUGGACUGACACUGACACUGAGGUGCGAAAGCGUGGGUAGCAAACAGGAUUAGAUACCCUGGUAGUC